GAUGAACGCUGGCGGCGUGCCUAAUACAUGCAAGUCGAGCGAACAGACGAGGAGCUUGCUCCUCUGACGUUAGCGGCGGACGGGUGAGUAACACGUGGAUAACCUACCUAUAAGACUGGGAUAACUUCGGGAAACCGGAGCUAAUACCGGAUAAUAUAUUGAACCGCAUGGUUCAAUAGUGAAAGACGGUUUUGCUGUCACUUAUAGAUGGAUCCGCGCCGCAUUAGCUAGUUGGUAAGGUAACGGCUUACCAAGGCGACGAUGCGUAGCCGACCUGAGAGGGUGAUUCGCCACACUGGAACUGAGACACGGUCCAGACUCCUAAGGGAGGCAGGCGUGGGGAAUUUUGCCGAAUGGGCGAAAGCCUGAACGAGCCAAACCGCGUGGGUGGAGAAGGUCUUCGGGUUGUAAAACUCUGUUAUUAGGGAAGAACAAAUGUGUAAGUAACUAUGCACGUCUUGACGGUACCUAAUCAGAAAGCCACGGCUAACUACGUG
rnacentral:rRNA from 1 species